GGCCAGCUGGCCUAAUGGUAAGGCGCUAGAUUUCGGUGAUACCAUCUGCAUCUGCAGAUGGUUAUAAUCCCUCUAGAGAUUGCAGGUUCGAAUCCUGCGUUGGUCG
rnacentral:tRNA from 1 species